UAUGUGAUCGUCUCUCGCAUAUCAAUAAGCGGAGGAAAAGAAACUAACAAGGAUUCCCCUAGUAACGGCGAGUGAAGCGAGAAGAGCUCAAAUUUGAAAUCUUAAAGGGUUUCCCUUUACGAAUUGUAGUUUAAAGAAGUGUUUUCUGUUGAGGUUUUGGUAAAAGUUCUUUGGAAUAGGACAUCAUAGAGGGUGAGAAUCCCGUAUUUGACCUUUACUUUCAACUUUGUGAUACACUUUCAAAGAGUCGGAUUGUUUGGGAAUGCAGUCCAAAAUGGGUGGUAAAUUUCAUCUAAAGCUAAAUAUUGGCGAGAGACCGAUAGCGAACAAGUACCGUGAGGGAAAGAUGAAAAGAACUUUGAAAAGAGAGUUAAACAGUACGUGAAAUUGUCAAAAGGGAAGCGUUUGACACCAGUGUUGUUUUUCUGAAAAUCAAUUAAAGAACUGUUUAUGCUAAGUUGUUUAGACUUUAUCAGCUAACUGUUUAGUUUUGAGCUUUUCUUUAAUGCACUUUUCAGUUAACAAGUCAACAUCAAUUUCUUUUGCUGUAAAAAAGCUUGAGGAAGGUGGCUUGAGAUUCGUCUUAAGUGUUUAUAGCCUCUUGCCUAUGCAGUCGGAGAGAUUGAGGUCUGCAGCGUAGAUCCUUCGGGGCUAAAUGCAUUUGUGCUAAGUUAUAGCAUUUUAUAGACAACUUGUUGACUAUGAUUUGUCUUGUAGCUUACUCGCUUAUGUUAUUUUACCUACGCUUAGGAUGUUGACACACGCGCGUGCUC
rnacentral:rRNA from 1 species